GAUGAACGCUAGUGGGAGGCCUAACACAUGCAAGCCGAGCGGUAUUGUUUCUUCGGAAAUGAGAGAGCGGCGUACGGGUGCGGAACACGUGUGCAACCUGCCUUUAUCUGGGGGAUAGCCUUUCGAAAGGAAGAUUAAUACUCCAUAAUAUAUUGAACGGCAUCGUUUAAUAUUGAAAGCUCCGGCGGAUAGAGAUGGGCACGCGCAAGAUUAGCUAGUUGGUGAGGUAACGGCUCACCAAGGCAAUGAUCUUUAGGGGGCCUGAGAGGGUGAUCCCCCACACUGGUACUGAGACACGGACCAGACUCCUACGGGAGGCAGCAGUGAGGAAUAUUGGUCAAUGGGUGCAAGCCUGAACCAGCCAUCCCGCGUGAAGGACGACUGCCCUAUGGGUUGUAAACUUCUUUUGUAUAGGGAUAAACCUUUCCACGUGUGGAAAGCUGAAGGUACUAUACGAAUAAGCACCGGCUAACUCCGUGCCAGCAGCCGCGGUAAAAUAGCGUA
rnacentral:rRNA from 1 species